AGGAAUGUAGCUCAGUGGUAGAGCACUUGCCUAGAAUGCAGAAGGUUGUGAAUUCCAUCUCUA
rnacentral:tRNA from 1 species